AGGAUAAUAGUUAAUUAUAACAUUUGGGUUGCAUCUAAAAAGUGUUGAAUAAAUCAACUUAUCUUA
rnacentral:tRNA from 1 species